GCGGGGCGCGGCGGCCUGAGGCGGGUGCAAAUGGCGGCGCUUGCCGCCAUCUCGCAGCGCGGCCGGUGGCGCCGCGGCUCUGCGAGGGAAGCCCUCGGCCUGGCGGCGGUUUAAACGCACAUCUCCUACGGCUUCGCGCCCAGGGAGCGCCUUGUCCGGGGCCAGUGCGGGUACAGCCCGGGGAGCAUCCAGGUGAACGUGUGACGGGUGCCCAGUGCUCUUCUGCUUUCGUGGCCAUGCUGCUCUGCGAUCUGCGCCGCAGUCACACUGCUGUGAGCUCUUCUGGAAAGAGGGGAGCCAAACCGAAAGGGGCCAUUGCUGCCCGCUGCUUGCCUGACCUGUUUGCUGUCCGAGGCGGGGUUCUGCGCGGCUGAAGUACGCGAGGCCUCAGGACUUAAGAACCUUUUUCCAAUCUUUCUUCCCUCUGUGAUAUUUAAGAAUGAUAGAGUUGUCAGCACCGGAAGAGACCUCAAGGACCAUCUAGCUCCAACCCCCCUGCCAUGGGCAGGGACACCUCACACUAGAUCACGUUGCUGAGAGCACCAUCCAGCCUGGUCUUAAAGACCUCCAGGACUGCGGCUUCCGCCACCUCCAUGGGCAACCUCUUCCAGUGUCUUACGACCCUCACAGUGAACUUAUUUCUAACAUCUGAUUGAGUCAACCCACUUCUUGUUUUGCUCCAAAAAGAAUUAUGGAAUCACCUGUGUAACCUGCGUGAAAAGUAAAGAAAUUUCCUUAACAUAAUGGACAAACUAUACGAAAGCACCCAAUCCUUUUAUGUGAAUCGUGCAAACUGCCCAGAGAAGUUACAGAUGCCCCAGCCCUGGGGGAGUUAAAGGUCAGGUUGGGUGAGGCUUUGAGCAGCCUGAUCUGGUGGAAGCUGUCCCUGUCCAUGGCAGGAAGGUAGAUGAUCUUUAAAGAUGUUAUGAGUCACCUUCACUUUGGAAGUUAAGUAUCAUUUCUGGCCAUCACCACAAGAAGGGGAUCCUCAGCCUGGAAGCAGGAGAAGGCAAGAUAAAGAAGACCUGAAAUGGAAGACGUGAAGAAAAAUAAGAGGUGAUCAAGGAAAAUUAAAUACAACCUUCUCCCUCCUUCCCCUUGCCCCCCCUUUACUCUGAAAGUAAAAGGAAUUGACAUAAUUUGCAUGGCUUCCUCUUCCACCAAGAUCUUAGUUAUAUAAAUCACUGUUAGACUCGCAUCAACCAGCCAACACGAACACAUGUAACAGGGCCAAGGCUCUACAAACCCAGAAAUGGCAAAAAAUGAAAAUACCUCUAAGGAUGGUAGGAGCAGGAGAAUAUCAGAGAAAAUACUACACUCAUCACCCAACCAUUGUACACAGCAUCCUCUGCCAGACCUCCAGAAGUGCACACUCAGUGUCAGCCUGAAUUACUGGGUGGGUUUUCUUGAACUUUUUUUUCUGGACACAAUUGGAAAAUACCCAUAAAUUUUGAAUAACAGGCUCAGCAAACAGUCCAAACACCUUGCCAAAUGUUCUCGAAGUUAGAGAACACAGGUGAAGAUAUUUCUUUCCUGGUUGAAGGACCCGUUAUCAGGUUUGGUUUGUUUCAGAAGAUCUGUGUCUUGUGCUUGAUAGGUGUUGUCUGCAGUGAUUUUCAGUUAGCUACCAGUUGAGAUUUGAUACAUUUUCAUUAUCUACUAAGUGGCAAAAGACAUGGCAACUGGUGUCAAGACCAACUUGACAGCAGUCAUGCCAGCUGCUCUGCAGAGAGAAACCAAGUGUACAUUUCUCUUACAGUGUAUUUGAUUUUGGACUAAAGACAGCAAUACAUAACAACCACAUUUAAAGUAAAAGCUGGACAAUAAACUUCUACACUGUAGCAAUAUUGCAAAGAAAGAGCUUCCAGCUCUCAAACACCACAUGCAGGUGUGACAUCUCAGCGGGAAGCAAUUCUGUCCUCUUGUUUACCAGACCAUACACGUUAUAUUUGCCAUUAAACAAACAAACAAACAAAACCCAGAA